rnacentral:lncRNA from 1 species
GCAGCCUCGCUAAAGGGCACAUUGUUCUGCACUGAGAGGCCUCUGUGCCAUGUGUUUUGAUACACUUUAAAGUUCAUAGAAUCAGGGAGUCUGGAUUCAGAAGGGGUCUGAGAAGGUCAUUCAAAUCUGUCUUUCCUCUUCCUAUUUUAUCUUUAUACAGACAAACACAUUCAAGUCAACAAGUCAUUUUAAACAGUUACCCUGUCUAGAGUGCCUGGGACAAGAAUAAGCGAAAGGAGCCAUGAACCUAAGCCUUUGCCUGGAGUGGGCAGCAAAGCCUUUUCAGAAAAGGUAGGAGGUAAAGUGGAAAGUAUUGUUUAGACUGGAUCUGGGCAACUGUGUCAGGAGAGCAUGUGAGGCAGAGGAAAUUAGAUGCAAGAAUGUGCAGAGGCGGGAAGAACAAAGCCGGCCAGUGAGACAUCACAUCGGUGUGCAAGCUGGAUCUGAUAGAAAAUUCACAGAAAGAGGAGGCGGUAAGAAUUACCUGCUCAGCAUCUCCACUUGCCUGGCCCUCUCACUUCUCCAUGGAAGAAGCUGCAGCAGAGAUAAUACGGUGAGUUGUCACCAGACCCUGUAAGUACUGUAUUUAGACUGCUGGACCUACCACCCUCCCAGCACAUCCUCAAAUUUGUCUCAUCAGUGGGUACAUCUUGUCUAGAUAGUCUCUGUCUUGGUGGGAGUGAGAACCACUUGAGGAAUGUGUUAAAAAUAUA